UAUAAAAAUUUCGGUUGCAUUCAUUAAUGGUACACGUUAAUUUUUAUGCCUGGCGAUGUGGGUGUGCUUAAAAUUGCCGGCCCGAGAGUCCUAUGUUUCUCCACGCCAUCAGUGUAGAUCAAGAUUUCAAAAAUCAUCAUACACUAAAUUCGGCACCGUUAGAAACAUCCAAAGCUGUUUUUCUAUCAUCAGUCAACUGUGUGGUGAUGUACACUACUUAAUUGCACAGGUGGAUCACGUCCAGAACACAUAUUGUUAAGGAAUGUGAGGGCCUUGGAUGGGUGUCGCCUGGUGGUGUAAUAGCCACAGACCGAGAUUUACUCAUCUAGUGCAUAUCCACGGCGAAGAAGCAUUGUCGGUCGAGUUUAGCCUUAGGUAUACGAAGUUGGCUUGGACGAAGUGGGGAAGUGGCUGAUGGAUUUCAUUACGAGAAAUGAUCCAGAAAAUUUAAUGAACUACGCAUCCACGGUAUUACAAGUGGUCGUUUUACUUAUGAAUGAUGCGCACCUAACGCUGUGAUGAUUGCUUCCUCGAAUUUCAAUUGGGCAUAUUACCAAAUAAAGACUUGGAUCACAUCUUGAUGACAAUGAGCCGAUUUACCAGUGGAUGGAAUGCGCGUUGGCCAUAGUUUCGCAUUUAAAGACCAAUCUUCCUACAAGACCUCGACUACGAUUAAUCUGAUUUGAUGAUGGUAGAACAAACCAGCCACCAUGGACAUACCGAAGUCUUUGGAAAGGAUGUUAUACACAUAAACAGUUUAUGUUCUUUUCAACUACAUAUGGACACGAAGCUAAACGUAUUCUGAAGGACAUCGCCAGCAAUGAGAAGAAACUGGCAUCGGC